GAUUAGUGCAGUGGUUUGAAUGUUGGACUAUGACUCUGGAGACCAGGGUUCGAUUCCCAGUUUGACCA
rnacentral:tRNA from 1 species